CUGUAACAUGGAAAUAUGGCAUUGUGGAAACCGUAACCCUAUAAAAGAAACCCAAAACACUUGGAGGAGAGAAGUCCAGGCAGAAAUGUCUGCGAGCAGCUUUAACUGCAGAGAUGCGAGCCGGGAUGCCUGCCCUUGAAAAGACCCUGCUGACUGGCCUUCAGUUCUGACUGACAGACACCUGAAGAAUCCUGCUGGGGAGAAGUGGAAGCAAAUGGGUCUUCAUCCUCAGGCUCAGACAACAUUUGUGAAGACACCUGUGUGGCUGAGGAGGCUCCGAGAUCAUUUCUGAAGAGGCCUGUGUGGCUGAGGAGGCUCCGAGAUCAUUUCUGAAGAGGCCUGUGUGGCUGAAGAGGCUCCGAGAUCAUUUCUGAAGAGGCCUGUGUGGCUGAAGAGGUAAAUGGCUCAUCAUUCUAGCCAGUGCCAGAGGGUGUUCCAAAAUAUUUCAGAAGUGUCCCUGAAUUUGCAUUGAAAUACAGUAUAUGAGUUUGACACCCUAAAUAUAUUUGUUGUACAAAUAAAUACACAUGUCAUUAUGCACAAUUUAUUUAACUUUCAGAAUAGGAACCAAAUGAACCAUACAACCUCCUUGGCUAAUUCUAGGCAUCAGACACCCGAAAAGACUCAAUAUAUCACAAAAGAUACUAAAUAUCAGCAUAAUAUAGACGUCUUUUAAGUUAGCCGACAGCUUUGGAAAUUCCCCUUACUGAGCUCAGGACCUAGUCAACCUAGUCAAUACAAUCACCUUUAUG
rnacentral:lncRNA from 1 species